rnacentral:rRNA from 1 species
UAGGGAAUCUUCCACAAUGGGCGCAAGCCUGAUGGAGCAACACCGCGUGAGUGAAGAAGGGUUUCGGCUCGUAAAGCUCUGUUGUUAAAGAAGAACAAGUAUGAGAGUAACUGUUCAUACGUUGACGGUAUUUAACCAGAAAGUCACGGCUAACUACGUGCAAG